GACAGAGGGUGCAAGCGUUGUCCGGAAUCAUUGGGCGUAAAGCGCGUGUAGGCGGCCCGAUAAGUCCGCUGUGAAAGUCCAGGGCUCAACCCUGGAAUGCCGGUGGAUACUGUCGGGGCUCGAGUCCGGAAGAGGGCGAGUGGAAAUUCCUGGGUGUAGCGGUGAAAUGCGCAGAUAUCAGGAGGAACACCGGUGGCGAAGGCGGGGUCUCUGGGGCCGAUACUGACGUGAGGAGCGAAAAGCGUGGGGG
rnacentral:rRNA from 1 species